rnacentral:rRNA from 1 species
UACGUAGGGCGCAAGCGUUGCCCGGAAUUAUUGGGCGUAAAGAGCUCGUAGGUGGCUGGUCGCGUCUGCCGUGAAAGCCCGUGGCUUAACUACGGGUCUGCGGUGGAUACGGGCCGGCUUGAGGUAGGUAGGGGCAAGCGGAAUUCCUGGUGUAGCGGUGAAAUGCGCAGAUAUCAGGAAGAACACCAAUGGCGAAGGCAGCUCUCUGGGACGGUACUGACGCUGAGACGCGAAAGCGUGGGGAGCGAACAGG